UCAAGUGAAGAAGCGCAUACGGUGGAUGCCUUGGCAGUCAGAGGCGAUGAAAGACGUGGUAGCCUGCGAAAAGCUUCGGGGAGUCGGCAAACAGACUUUGAUCCGGAGAUCUCUGAAUGGGGGAACCCACCUAGGAUAACCUAGGUAUCUUGUACUGAAUCCAUAGGUGCAAGAGGCGAACCAGGGGAACUGAAACAUCUAAGUACCCUGAGGAAAAGAAAUCAACCGAGAUUCCCUUAGUAGUGGCGAGCGAACGGGGAUUAGCCCUUAAGCUUCAUUGAUUUUAGCGGAACGCUCUGGAAAGUGCGGCCAUAGUGGGUGAUAGCCCCGUACGCGAAAGGAUCUUUGAAGUGAAAUCGAGUAGGACGGAGCACGAGAAACUUUGUCUGAACAUGGGGGGACCAUCCUCCAAGGCUAAAUACUACUGACUGACCGAUAGUGAACCAGUACCGUGAGGGAAAGGCGAAAAGAACCCCGGAGAGGGGAGUGAAAUAGAACCUGAAACCGUAUGCGUACAAGCAGUGGGAGCCUACUUGUUAGGUGACUGCGUACCUUUUGUAUAAUGGGUCAGCGACUUAUAUUCAGUGGCAAGCUUAACCGUAUAGGGUAGGCGUAGCGAAAGCGAGUCUUAAUAGGGCGUUUAGUCGCUGGGUAUAGACCCGAAACCGGGCGAUCUAUCCAUGAGCAGGUUGAAGGUUAGGUAACACUGACUGGAGGACCGAACCCACUCCCGUUGAAAAGGUAGGGGAUGACUUGUGGAUCGGAGUGAAAGGCUAAUCAAGCUCGGAGAUAGCUGGUUCUCCUCGAAAGCUAUUUAGGUAGCGCCUCAUGUAUCACUCUGGGGGGUAGAGCACUGUUUCGGCUAGGGGGUCAUCCCGACUUACCAAACCGAUGCAAACUCCGAAUACCCAGAAGUGCCGAGCAUGGGAGACACACGGCGGGUGCUAACGUCCGUCGUGAAAAGGGAAACAACCCAGACCGCCAGCUAAGGUCCCAAAGUUGUGGUUAAGUGGUAAACGAUGUGGGAAGGCUUAGACAGCUAGGAGGUUGGCUUAGAAGCAGCCAUCCUUUAAAGAAAGCGUAAUAGCUCACUAGUCGAGUCGGCCUGCGCGGAAGAUGUAACGGGGCUCAAACCACACACCGAAGCUGCGGGUGUCACGUAAGUGACGCGGUAGAGGAGCGUUCUGUAAGCCUGUGAAGGUGAGUUGAGAAGCUUGCUGGAGGUAUCAGAAGUGCGAAUGCUGACAUGAGUAACGACAAUGGGUGUGAAAAACACCCACGCCGAAAGACCAAGGGUUCCUGCGCAACGUUAAUCGACGCAGGGUUAGUCGGUUCCUAAGGCGAGGCUGAAAAGCGUAGUCGAUGGGAAACAGGUUAAUAUUCCUGUACUUCUGGUUACUGCGAUGGAGGGACGGAGAAGGCUAGGCCAGCUUGGCGUUGGUUGUCCAAGUUUAAGGUGGUAGGCUGAAAUCUUAGGUAAAUCCGGGGUUUCAAGGCCGAGAGCUGAUGACGAGUCGUCUUUUAGAUGACGAAGUGGUUGAUGCCAUGCUUCCAAGAAAAGCUUCUAAGCUUCAGGUAACCAGGAACCGUACCCCAAACCGACACAGGUGGUCGGGUAGAGAAUACCAAGGCGCUUGAGAGAACUCGGGUGAAGGAACUAGGCAAAAUGGCACCGUAACUUCGGGAGAAGGUGCGCCGGCUAGGGUGAAGGAUUUACUCCGUAAGCUCUGGCUGGUCGAAGAUACCAGGCCGCUGCGACUGUUUAUUAAAAACACAGCACUCUGCAAACACGAAAGUGGACGUAUAGGGUGUGACGCCUGCCCGGUGCCGGAAGGUUAAUUGAUGGGGUUAGCGCAAGCGAAGCUCUUGAUCGAAGCCCCGGUAAACGGCGGCCGUAACUAUAACGGUCCUAAGGUAGCGAAAUUCCUUGUCGGGUAAGUUCCGACCUGCACGAAUGGCGUAACGAUGGCGGCGCUGUCUCCACCC
rnacentral:rRNA from 1 species